rnacentral:rRNA from 1 species
GGUCAAGUUAUUAAGGGUGCAGGGCGGAUGCCUUGGCACUAGGAGCCGAUGAAGGACGUGAUAAGCUGCGAUAAGCUUCGGGGAGUUGCACGUAAACUUUGAUCCGAAGAUUUCCGAAUGAGGAAACUCACUUAGAGUAAUGUCUAAGUAUCAUUAAGUGAAUACAUAGCUUAAUGAGGGGAACUCAGGGAACUGAAACAUCUAAGUACCUGAAGGAAGAGAAAGAAAUUCGAUUCCGUAAGUAGCGGCGAGCGAACGCGGAUUAGCCCAAACCAAUAAAGUUUUCUUUAUUGGGGUUGCGGACAUAUCAUAACGAAGAGGUAUCGUAAUUGAAGAGGUUUGGAAAGACCCACCACAGAAGGUAAUAGUCCUGUAUGUUAAACGAGAAGACUUCAGAUAUGAUCCAGAGUACCACGGGACACGUGAAACCCUGUGGGAAGCAGGAGGGACCACCCUCCAAGGCUAAAUACUCUCUAGUGACCGAUAGUGAAUCAGUACCGUGAGGGAAAGGUGAAAAGUACCCCGGAAGGGGAGUGAAAGAGAACUUGAAACCGUGCACUUACAAGCUGUGGAAGCACAUUUCUUGUGUGACCGCGUACUUUUUGUAGAACGGGCCAACGAGUUACGUUAAGUAGCAAGGUUAAGCACUUAAGGUGUGGAGCCGUAGCGAAAGCGAGUUUUAACUGAGCGUUCAGUUACUUGACGUAGACCCGAAACCGGGCGACCUACCCAUGAGCAGGAUGAAGCGAAAGUAAAAUUUCGUGGAGGUCCGAACCCACGAGCGUUGAAAAGCUCGGGGAUGACUUGUGGGUAGCGGUGAAAUUCCAAUCGAGCCCGGAGAUAGCUGGUUCUCCCCGAAAUAGCUUUAGGGCUAGCCUCAAGGUGAGAGAUACGGAGGUAGAGCACUGAAUGUCCUAGGGGGUAUUGCACCUACCGAAGACUAUCAAACUCCGAAUGCCGUCAUCUUAUACUUGGGAGUCAGACUGUGGGUGAUAAGAUUCAUAGUCGAAAGGGCAACAGCCCAGAUCGUCAGCUAAGGUCCCUAAAUGUAAGUUAAGUGGUAAAGGAUGUGGGAUUGCACAGACAACCAGGAUGUUGGCUUAGAAGCAGCCACUCAUUCAAAGAGUGCGUAAUAGCUCACUGGUCGAGUGAUCCUGCGCCGAAGAUUUCCGGGGCUAAAACUUACUACCGAAGCUACGGCAUCAGUAAUGAUGGGUAGGGGAGCUUCCCAUACGGGUUGAAGCAUGACCGUAAGGACAUGUGGACAGUAUGGGAGUGAGAAUGUUGGCAUGAGUAGCGAGAUGUGGGUGAGAAUCCCACAGGCCGUAAACCCAAGGUUUCCAGGGGAAGGUUCGUCCGCCCUGGGUUAGUCGGGACCUAAGCUGAGGCCGAAAGGCGUAGGUGAUGGACAACAGGUUGAUAUUCCUGUACUACCGAUAACCGUUUGAGAGAAGGGAUGACACAGUAGGAUAAGCUAAGCACACUGUUGGUUAUGUGUGCCCAAGCAUUGAGGCAGUCAAAGUAGGCAAAUCCGCUUUGAUAAUGCUGGGAUGUGAUGGGGAGCGAAAUUUAGUAGCGAAGUAGCUGAUUUCACACUGUCAAGAAAAGUCUCUAUCGAGGUUAAAGGUACCCGUACCGCAAACCGACACAGGUGGGUGAGGAGAGUAUCCUAAGGCCAGCGAGAGAACUGUUGUUAAGGAACUCGGCAAAAUGACCCCGUAACUUAGGGAUAAGGGGUGCCACCAUCAGGUGGCCGCAGAGAAUAGGCCCAAGCGACUGUUUACCAAAAACAUAGGUUUCUGCUAAGUCGCAAGACGAUGUAUAGGAGCUGACGCCUGCCCGGUGCUGGAAGGUUAAGGGGAUCUGUUAGAGCAAUCGAAGCAGUGAACUUAAGCCCCAGUAAACGGCGGCCGUAACUAUAACGGUCCUAAGGUAGCGAAAUUCCUUGUCGGGUAAGUUCCGACCCGCACGAAAGGCGUAACGAUUUGGGCACUGUCUCAACAACAGACUCGGUGAAAUUGUAAUUCCGGUGAAGAUGCCGGAUACCUGCGACAGGACGGAAAGACCCCAUGGAGCUUUACUGUAGCUUGACAUUGGGUUUUGGUACUACAUGUACAGGAUAGGUGGGAGGCUUUGAAACCAGGACGCCAGUUUUGGCGGAGCCAUCCUUGGGAUACCACCCUUGUAGUACUGGGACUCUAACCAUAGGCCAUGAAUCUGGUCUUGGGACACUGUCAGGUGGGCAGUUUGACUGGGGCGGUCGCCUCCCAAAAGGUAACGGAGGCGCUCAAAGGUUCUCUCAGUACGGUCGGAAAUCGUACGUAGAGUGUAAAGGCAAAAGAGAGCUUGAUUGCAAGACAUACAGGUCGAGCAAGGAUGAAAAUCGGACUUAGUGAUCCGGUGGUUCUGCGUGGAAGGGCCAUCGCUCAACGGAUAAAAGCUACCCUGGGGAUAACAGGCUUAUCUCCCCCAAGAGUCCACAUCGACGGGGAGGUUUGGCACCUCGAUGUCGGCUCAUCACAUCCUGGGGCUGUAGUAGGUCCCAAGGGUUGGGCUGUUCGCCCAUUAAAGUGGUACGCGAGCUGGGUUCAGAACGUCGUGAGACAGUUCGGUCCCUAUCCGUCGCAGGCGUAGGAAAUUUGAGAAGACCUGUCCUUAGUACGAGAGGACCGGGAUGGACGUACCUCUGGUGUACCAGUUGUUCUGCCAAGGGCAUGGCUGGGUAGCUAUGUACGGAAUGGAUAAGCGCUGAAAGCAUCUAAGCGCGAAGCCAACUUCAAGAUAAGAUUUCCCACCGUAAGGGUAAGACCCCAGAAAGACUAUCUGGUUGAUAGGUCGAAGGUGUAAGUGCAGCAAUGUAUUUAGCUUAUCGAUACUAAUAGGUCGAGGACUUGACCAA